rnacentral:sRNA from 1 species
CGGGUCCGUUCGCCCAAAUGACAGGCAGGGGUGGAGAACCCAAACACCGACGGCCAGCCGCCUUGCUUCCUUGGCACGCGGCCGUCUUGGGGUGAAGUCGCAGCUUGGCCUGCGACCGGAUCUGACCGGUCCGAACCCGACAGCUAACUCCGCAGGCGCCAUGAGAGGUCUC